rnacentral:miRNA from 1 species
CGUGUGUGUGUGUGUGUGUGUGUGUGUGUGUGUGUGUGUGUGUGUGGCGGCCCUGCCCCCACCCAAGCAGUUGAACUUAAUCUCACACUGA